rnacentral:rRNA from 1 species
UACGGAGGAUCCAAGCGUUAUCCGGAUUUAUUGGGUUUAAAGGGUGCGUAGGCGGCUUAUUAAGUCAGGGGUGAAAGACGGUGGCUCAACCAUCGCAGUGCCCUUGAUACUGAUGAGCUUGAAUACACUUGAGGUAGGCGGAAUGUGACAAGUAGCGGUGAAAUGCGUAGAUAUGUCACAGAACACCAAUUGCGAAGGCAGCUUACUAAGGUGCAAUUGACGCUGAGGCACGAAAGCGUGGGGAUCAAACAGG